CCCUUAGAUGUUCUGGGCCGCACGCGUGCUACACUGAGUGGAUCAGCGGGUCAGGUUGCGCGAAAGUGUUUCCUAAUCUUGAAAUCCGCUCGUGAUGGGGAUUGACGGUUGCAAUUUUCCGUCAUGAACGAGGAAUACCUUGUAAGCGCGGGUCAUCAUCCCGCGCUGAAUACGUCCCUGCCCUUUGUACACACCGCCCGUCGCUCCUACCGAUUGAGUGGUCCGGUGAGGCUUUGGGAUCUGAGCGGAAAGAGCGUUUGGCUGUUUCUGCUCGGAAAACUCAGUCGAACCUUAUCAUUUAGAGGAAGGAGAAGUCGUAACA
rnacentral:rRNA from 1 species